CUUCGGACAAUAUACAAGGUGCUGCAUGGUUGUCGUCAGCUCGUGCCGUGAGGUGUCGGGUUAAGGUCCCACUAACGAGCGCAACCCUUGUCCUUAGUUACCAGCACGUUAUGGUGGGCACUCUAAGGAGACUGCCGGUGACAAACCGGAGGAAGGUGGGGAUGACGUCAAGUCAUCAUGGCCCUUACGGCCUGGGCUACACACGUGCUACAAUGGUCGGUACAAAGGGUUGCCAAGCCGCGAGGUGGAGCUAAUCCCAUAAAACCGAUCGUAGUCCGGAUCGCAGUCUGCAACUCGACUGCGUGAAGUCGGAAUCGCUAGUAAUCGUGAAUCAGAAUGUCACGGUGAAUACGUUCCCGGGCCUU
rnacentral:rRNA from 1 species